rnacentral:tRNA from 1 species
GCCGGCUUAGCUCAGUUGGUAGAGCGUCUGAUUUGUAAUCAGAGGGUCGCGUGUUCAAGUCAUGUACGCCGGCA